rnacentral:lncRNA from 1 species
GGUAGCUCAAAAAACAGACAACGAAGAAAUUAAAUGUCACUGAUAUUAAUGACUCUGCAUUUUCAAACAGAAAGCACAACAAAAUGAAUCGAACGAGAGAAGGGAAGGAGAGGAGAAGGAGAAAGAGAAGACUGAAGAGAAAGAUGCAAGGUCUGCAAGGAGAGCAAGGGUGAACGAAGAGCCGGUGUCGGGAAAUGUGAUUCGGGUCAGGUCCCGAAACGGGACACAGGAAAGGAGAUUUCAAACGGGAGCUCAUUUCCAGGAGGUCUACGACUGGGCCGGGGCAGAUGAAUCCUUCCCGCCCUAUUUCACCCUGCAUAGGGGCAGUGUGAUGGUUUCUCACGAAGAAACAGUGCAAAUGGAUGAAACUUUAGAUGUCACAGAGAGAGAGGAAGAGGAAAUGGAGUCACUGUUUCAAACUAAGGUUAGGGAAGUUUUUUUUAAAAUGUCCAUCAUUUAAACAAAUCAAGUCUAACCUUGCAAUCGGACUUAUAACAUAUAUAGCCGAUAUAGGCGGAGUUUUAACCAAUCUUGUGAACGCGAAGAAGAUCAUAAUAUCUGCUGCUACAUUUCUUUUUACCUUCCAUGUCACUAUUUACCUAUGAAUUCGCAGGGACUCAUUAUUAUUGGCCACUUUAAUUCGGACUUAGUUGUUAGGAACUUACCUUCAGCCCACUUACUGAUUCAUCUAGGAAGCUUCAGACCAGCCUCUUCGUGAGGUUCUUAGGAAAUUUAACAUCCAGAUGAUAGUCUCCUAAUCGAGCCGGGACACUUGGGACCAGGCUCUUCGUGAGCCAGGACACUUGGGACCAGGCUCUUAGGAGCUUAACUAAGGGCAAUAGACUUCCUAAUCGAGCCAGGACACUUGGGACCAGGCUCUUCGUGAGCCAGGACACUUGGGACCAGGCUCUUAGGAG